UCCCUCAUAGCUCAGUCGGUAAAGAAUCUGCCUGCGAUGCAGGAGACCCAUGUUCGAUUCCUGGGGUGGGAA
rnacentral:tRNA from 1 species